AAACAACUUUUGCGGGAGGCGUGGGGAAACCCACCCAUCAUCGCACUCAGCAGGCGAAAGCACCAUGGCAGCAGAGACUCCCGGGAGAGCAGGGCCAGGGGCCACCUCCCUCCCCAUCCUCACCUGGCGCCCAAAGCAAUGUGGUGCUGGGAGGAUGGAUGGGAGGAAAGCCUGGGCUGGCGAGUCCCAGCAGGUGAAAGAGCACAGGGUGUGCAUCCCCCAUUUCCCUUGUCUCUCUGUCCCGAUGUGCCCUGCUCAGCAUCCUGCGGAGCUGGAACCUGAUGUGCACCUCAGCAGCAGGAAAGAGAAGAUUUUCCUCUGAGUGCUUUAUUAAUGUGGGCCUGAAACCAUUGUGCAUUUCUGAACAAAAGCAAGCAGGCCAUGCCACAACUAAAAUCAGCACACUGAGUUUCCUGAGUUGGAAAAAUCACGAACAAAUAAAAAUCAGGUGUCAAAAUGAAA